UGAGACACGGCCCAGACUCCUGCGGGAGGCAGCAGUGGGGAAUCUUGCGCAAUGGGCGAAAGCCUGACGCAGCGACGCCGCGUGGGGGAUGACGGCCUUCGGGUUGUAAACCUCUUUUACCACUCACGCAGGCCCCGGGUUCUCCCGGGGUUGACGGUAGGUGGGGAAUAAGGACCGGCUAACUACGUGCCAGCAGCCGCGGUAAUACGUAGGGUCCGAGCGUUGUCCGGAUUUAUUGGGCGUAAAGAGCUCGUAGGCGGCGUGUCGCGUCUGCUGUGAAAGCCCGGGGCUUAACUCCGGGUGUGCAGUGGAUACGGGCAUGCUUGAGGUAGGUAGGGGAGACUGGAAUUCCUGGUGUAGCGGUGAAAUGCGCAGAUAUCAGGAGGAACGCCGGUGGCGAAGGCGGGUCUCUGGGCCUUACCUGACGCUGAGGAGCGAAAGCAUGGGGAGCGAACAGGAUUAGAUACCCUGGUAGUCCAUGCCGUAAACGUUGGGCGCUAGGUGUGGGGCCUUUCCACGGGUUCCGUGCCGUAGCUAACGCAUUAAGCGCCCCGCCUGGGGAGUACGGCCGCAAGGCUAAAACUCAAAUGAAUUGACGGGG
rnacentral:rRNA from 1 species